ACAGGCAAGGCUUCCAUAAAGCUAGGAGAUAGCAGGGAGGAAAAUUGCAGUCUGUCUCCUGGGGGGGUAGGAGCUCCUGAGGAAGGGUUUACCUAGUAGGCCUAAGAGAGAGGGAGUCUGAUUAGGAAGGUUAGUGAAGGAGAAGUAGGUAAGAGAGCAAUAAGGUUGGUGAGGACCCAGACUGUGCUUGCUACAAGGUCCUGGACUAGAACCCAGAGUAGAGGAUGAGCUUGGGUUCCCACUGCAGAGUGUUGUUGCUGAGUACAGUGAAUGGGAAGAUUGCCUGAAACAUUGUGGAAGUGAUAUAGUCAGGGCAGCAGGUGUGAGGACUGCCUGACACUGUGCAGGUAGACUUUGAAAGACCUCCCUUCCUGGAAGGGGUAAUCAUAGUGUGACCUGGAUAGAGGACUGAGUCACAAAGUGGCCACGUGGCUCUGCUUCUGCUCAUGGAGUUGCAGUAACAGUGGAAGAGAAGAAAGAUACCAAAUACUGCUUCCAAGACUCCUGGCUGUCAUGAGCACAAAUAUACUAGAGCGGGGUCCUUGCAAAUUCUGUGUCGCCUGAUUCUGGGACAAGAAUCUUAUUAUCUUCUGAUCAGAUUAACUCACUCAGAUUGACACAGAGACAUGAAUCUGAAAGAAGUGCCCUGUAAAGGGAUCCAGUAAUGGAGGAAGAUUAGAUCCUGCUCAUCCAUUCUCCUUAGGGGUGUCUGGCCCUGGUGGUCACUAGGAACCUAAGCCAAAGCCCAUUGAAGACAAUGAGGAUCAGGACGCAGCAGAACCGCUUCUUUGGAGUCCAAGGUGUUCAUUCAGAAACCCAGCAGGGCAAAUUCUUCACACAGCAAAACUCUGAUGCACAAUCAGCUGUUUCCCAAAUAGAUAAAAAGGACUCAAAUGUAACAUUUCAAUCAUGCUCUCUGUAGAAUCAACUCAUUUCUCUCCUGUGGUGUAUUUUGCCUGUAAAAUUGACAAAUAACAGGUAAUGCACCUCAAGGGGAUUUCGGCCCAAUGAAAGGGUAAAAACUACUUGAGGCAAGGGAGCUAGUAGUCUUUAGAAAAACCGAAACCACAGUGUCCUUUUAUUUUCAAAGAGAUUUAAUUUGUUCAUGCAUUAUGCAACAGAUAUAAAAUUCCUUUUGUGUCCUGUUGACAUUUCUA